UGUUGCUGUAUGCACACACACACACACACACACACACACACACACACACACACACACACACACACACACACAGGAGGGAGGAAGAGAGAGAAUAAGAGAGUGAGAAGAGAAAGAAAGUGUGAAAGGGGGCGACUCUGAGCUAUUGUGGACAAAGUCCUCAGGGAGAGAUUACCUAUUGGCAACUUAUUUGCUAACUUCUGACAUGAUGAGAGUUGAAAGCUAGAGUGUCUCUCUCUCUUUCUCUCUCUCUGCAAUUAGUUUCUUUCCAUGUGUCCAGUGGAGGACCACGCUGUUUACAGCCACGGCCAAAAAAGAAUACCGCAUAGAAUUACAAACAAAGCCCUGUGCACAGAGUCUCGCUGUUACUAGCCAAGCACUUCAUUCUGGAGGACAGCUGACUGUGGGAUUCUCGGAGGGGCGAAGCUUCACGACUCUUAGGCUUCCAGAGUGACUGACAUUCUCUCAAAUGGAGCUUCCACUGAACAGCAGCCUGUCCGAUGCUCUGCAGCCCUCCAUCAAGGAAGAGCGCUUUACUGCUAGCACAGUGGGCACUGUGGUUGUGCUGAUAGGGCGUGUUGACCUUCGCUCUUCAGCUGGCGCUCGUCGCUGUUUUUCUACAAGUGCUGGAACUACGACGCACAGAUCCGAGAAAGCCACAAAGACGCAAAGCAACCAGGGAAACCUGUCGCAAAAGAGAGCAUCAGCCUUCUGACUGCACCUCGGCAUGACGCUGGCUUCCACACCGGCGUGGCAUUAGCGGCGGCUGGUUUGUACUCCACUCAUCUGGCUCACUCCUACUGCUAUUAUGAGGAGCUGGACCGGCUCUCCCCAGCGACGCCUUACUUGCCCUGUAAUGCCUGGGAUUUGGUGCAGCGCUGAAGAGCACGCUUAACAAGAGACUGCAGCACUCCCUCCGCACGCUCUCGCUGCAAGGAGCAGCCCCACACUGGACACUUCAGAAGCUCAAAUCACACACACACAUACACACGCUGCCAUUUGUAUCAGGUGAAAUCUCACUAUGUGUUAAGGGAAGGAUGCUUGACAUUGCUUUAGAAUGCUUAUUUGAGUUUAAAUGUUUUUAAACACUUACCCCAAACUGCCAUGAAUACAGCAAAGAAAACAGUCGCUCCAUUAUCGAAAAGAUGGGUGACCUACAAUACCAACAAGCACACACACACACACACACACACACACACACAAACACACACACAAUCCCAAAACUGUAUUAAUUGAGGUACGCUACAUGAACAGAUAUGAAUAGCAAGUAACCGCAUUUGCAUACAUUUUUUGAAGAAAAAGGCAAACCGAGCAACUCAAGUAGGUUAGCCUCACCUUGGCAUAUAUACAGCUGUCUGAGAGUCUCAUGUAUGGGCAGUAGUGGUCACAGAGGGGACACAUGAUGAUGUCAGUGGCCUGGCAGACCUCUUUACUAAAAGAAGUAAAGGCCAUCUUAGAGGCAGCAGCACAGCAGCAGUGACAGCAGAUCUUUCUGGCUCUGACAUCUGUCUGGUGUCCCUACACUGGCCUCCCAGUGUGCACAUGCUACUGUGAUCUCACUGAAUGAUAAUGUUAAGGUUAGAAUAAGCAAACGUCAUGAGGACAUUUAUAUUGCUUCAUACACAGCUGAUAUAAACUAUAAACUGGAAUAUACAGAAUAUAUUGUAUGCUAGCUAGGUUAACAUCCUGAUUGCAAAUCAGAAAAGAAAAUGUUCUCAGUAAAACAGUAUCUAUCCUGAUCUCAACGAGAAUUUCAACAUCACAUAUCUUACUUAAAGUAUCUUGAAGUAAUAACUAAGUAAAAAUGUUUAAGAAUUCCCUCACAUGAAUGCGAUAAUUUGAUAGAACUGAGUUGACAGUUACAUUACCUAACCUGGCAGUGCUCCAAGGUAAACACCCCAUAGAGAAAGACCAUGAGCCCUACAAUAGCUGCUGGGAACAGCAUCCCCGUGUACCAGCCCAGCCAGGCGAAGUAGAGGCCAAUCUUCUCCCCGAAGUAUCGUCUGAGAUUCACAACAUGAUAUAAGACAGAUGCUGCUCCCUCUACCCACAGUUCAGUUCAUCAAGUGCCUCAUGUUUGUGCCUCAUGUAGUAUUAUAAUUAUGUCUCUGUUUAUGAUAUUAAAAGUAUUGGUAUGGUAUUGAUAAAUGCAAUCAGUAUUAGGCAAUCUAGUCAUGAUUUGUUUUGAUUAUGCAUCUAUGUGAAAUGUACCUUAUGUUCAAUUUUCCUUACUUAAUAGCAGUUCAGCCAGACCUGUUAUUGUAUUAUGCUUGUCACAUUAAAAACACUGUAUGUGUGUUUUUUAAAAAAAAUGAUCACUCA